GCAAAUAUCUCAGUCCUCCUCAAAUAUGUUACUCAUUUAUUUAUGUCUUUAUAGACUUAUGGUCUACUAUUGUAUUUAAUGAAUUAACAUCCACUAUCAUCAGUAUUUAUUUUAAUGCUCAAAUUGUUGCUGUAAGAACCACUUAGAUUGCUUCUAUAUAAUCUUUUGAUAUGUCUUCAUUAUUCUUUGAACAUUUUCAGACUUUCUGGAACAACAAAACUUCCUAGGAUCAUUUUAUACUUUCUCCACUCCAUCCUAGAAUGGAUCGUUUCUCUAAGGAGUCCUAUUUCCUUUUAGAGAGAGUAGUGUUUAGAAGCUGAGGUUUGGGUGUUAAAUGUGCUUAUUGCUAUUGGAGUGUCAAUGCUCCGGUACUGCUUGGAGGACCGAAACUAAGGAGUGUGAUAAUAUGUACUUUUACAUUCGUGUAUUUGUUUUUAUGAAUACCUAUGUUGAAAUCCAAGAAUUAAUACUGAUUUCUCUGCUUUCAACCCAACACCAUUGACUUCAUUCUAUUUUUUUCUCCACUUGUUGCCUCUUUCUCCAACAGUGAGAAACGCAGCUCCAUUGGCACAGGCUAUGCAUUUUUAUUUCACCAUUCCCACCCACUGUAUGUAAUCAAGUUUCCAUUGCCUCUCCAUUCCUGCUCUGCUUGGAUGAUCUCUCAUGCUGCUUGAGAUCUGAUUCCCGGUGCUGGACCACUUUCUAGGUUCUGAAGUUCUUUUCUAGGUAGCCUCCUCACAGGGAUGUAAAAAGUCAUGUCUCUCAGUUUCUGACCACCUGAGCUGGGCCAUUCAGCUUCCCCAUGUCCCCAGUGCUGCUGGUGUGUUUACUUACUGACUUGCUUUUUGGGAUUAUGAUUAAGUAGGUUAGGAAGGAAGGGGAGGGAGUGGGAACAACAACCUAUUAGAUUUAAAAAUCAAAUGCCAAACUUCAAAAAUAUUUAUGUAUGAUAUAUGUUUACCAGAUGACAUAUGCAAUUUAUGAGUAAUAUAAAAAUGUGUAUACACAUACACACACAUAUAAAAUAUAUUCUUGUGCUUGGAAUGAAAGGCUGGGC
rnacentral:lncRNA from 1 species